AACGAACGCUGGCGGCAUGCCUAACACAUGCAAGUCGAACGAUCCCUUCGGGGAUAGUGGCGCACGGGUGCGUAACGCGUGGGAACCUGCCCUUAGGUUCGGAAUAACUCAGAGAAAUUUGAGCUAAUACCGGAUAAUGUCUUCGGACCAAAGAUUUAUCGCCUUUGGAUGGGCCCGCGUUGGAUUAGCUAGUUGGUGGGGUAAAGGCCUACCAAGGCGACUAUCCAUAGCUGGUCUGAGAGGAUGAUCAGCCACACUGGGACUGAGACACGGCCCAGACUCCUACGGGAGGCAGCAGUGGGGAAUAUUGGACAAUGGGCGAAAGCCUGAUCCAGCAAUGCCGCGUGAGUGAUGAAGGCCUUAGGGUUGUAAAGCUCUUUUACCCGGGAUGAUAAUGACAGUACCGGGAGAAUAAGCCCCGGCUAACUCCGUG
rnacentral:rRNA from 1 species